UGGCAAGUCGACCAAAGGCGAAAGCAGUCAUCAAGGGCAUACCCGUUGGUCAAGAGCGAAAGUUAAGGGUUCGAAGACGAUCAGAUACCGUCGUAGUCUUAACUAUAAAUGAUACAGACCAGGGAUAGGACACUGUCCAUCUCGACUCCUCCUGCACCUUAUAGAAAUUACAGUCUUUGGGUUCUGGGGGGAGUAUGGUCGCAAGGCUGAAACUUAAAGGAAUUGACGGAAGGGCACACAAAGAGUGGAACCUGCGGCUUAAAAGGUUGGCUUAGGCGGCUAAAGUUGGGAUCGGUAAUCAGGCACGCCUACAUUUUGACUCUUCGAGGCGCCUGAAUCUACCACUGCUAGCUAGUCGACCCCCCCAAGUGAAUUUGGUUGAGGUGGGGGGCGGCGAGACAACCUGGUACGGGGGAAAUCUGGCUCUAGACAGACGACCCCGUGGCGAGCUACCGGCAGGCGACUGCUGGAUUGGCCGUCGUAACGCACGGAAAGGUGUCGGGUGCUCUCACAGAUUGUUCUGGUCGUGAGGCGCCUUAAGGGACGUGCUACUCCCACCCCCCUGGAGCAAGAAGACAAGGGGGGUGCUCGCAAGUAAGCUCUCAACCAGCCCAGAUGCGAGACCCGUAGAUCCUGGGCGGCACUCAGUGCCACUGGGGGAGGGCGGUAGGAAGGUAAUUUGACUCAACACGGGAAAACUCACCAGGUCCGGAUACACGCAUGAAAGUCAAGCUGAAAGACUUUACUCAAUGAUGUAAGUGGUGGUGCAUGGUCGUUCUUAGUUCGUGGAUUGAUUUGUCUGGUCUAUUCCGAUAACGAGCGAGACCCCAACGUUCCUAAUAGGGGCAGCAGCCCGGCUUGGCCGCAAGGUCUUGCUAGCAGCAGCCUGAGAUUCACUUCUUAGACGUAUCAGAGCCGAUAAGGUUCUUGAAAUGGGUUAAUAACAGGUCAGUCAUGCCCUUAGAUGUUCUGGGCCGCACGCGCGUUACAAUGGUAUGCUUAAACAGUGCUCUCGAAAGCGUUUCCGGGGCCGAAAGGUCCUGGUAACCAUUAGAUCCUACCUUGACUGGGACAGAUCUUUGCAAUUAUUGGUCUCCAACGAGGAAUUUUUAGUAGUCGCAGGUCAUUAACCUGCGACGAAUGCGUCCCUG
rnacentral:rRNA from 1 species